rnacentral:rRNA from 1 species
UACGGGGGGAGCAAGCGUUGUUCGGAUUUACUGGGCGUAAAGGGCGCGUAGGCGGCCACCGCAAGUCGACUGUGAAAUCUCCGGCUUAACCCGGAAAGGUCAGCCGAUACUGCGGGGCUAGAGUGCAGAAGGGCAACUGGAAUUCUCGGUGUAGCGGUGAAAUGCGUAGAUAUCGAGAGGAACACCUGCGGCGAAGGCGGUUGCUGGGCUGACACGUGACGCUGAGGCGCGAAAGCUAGGGAGCGAACGG